rnacentral:tRNA from 1 species
AGCUCAGUAGGUAGAGCACGGCCCUGAAAAGGCCGGUGUGGUCAGUUCGAUCCUGACCCUGCCCA